CAGUAACCUGGCUAUCCAUUAGAUACCCAUAAGAAAGCAAUUCUUGAAAAUAGGCUAGCUAUUGACUAUUUGUUACUGAAACAUUAAGAAAAUAUUGUAUUUAUUAUUUAUCGCAACAUUUGUCAUAAUGAUGAUUUUCUGACAUUUAAGUUCUUCUCCCGUCUUCUAUCAUCCUUGUGUAAAUCAAAACUUUAUGUUGGUCGUACCUUAACUUACAUGCCAG